UGGGGAAUUUUGGACAAUGGGCGAAAGCCUGAUCCAGCAAUGCCGCGUGUGUGAAGAAGGCCUUCGGGUUGUAAAGCACUUUUGUCCGGAAAGAAAUCCUUGGCUCUAAUACAGUCGGGGGAUGACGGUACCGGAAGAAUAAGCACCGGCUAACUACGUGCCAGCAGCCGCGGUAAUACGUAGGGUGCAAGCGUUAAUCGGAAUUACUGGGCGUAAAGCGUGCGCAGGCGGUUUGCUAAGACCGAUGUGAAAUCCCCGGGCUCAACCUGGGAACUGCAUUGGUGACUGGCAGGCUAGAGUAUGGCAGAGGGGGGUAGAAUUCCACGUGUAGCAGUGAAAUGCGUAGAGAUGUGGAGGAAUACCGAUGGCGAAGGCAGCCCCCUGGGCCAAGUACUGACGCUCAUGCACGAAAAGGCGUGGGGGAGCAAAACAGGAUUAGAUACCCUGGGUAGUCCACGCCCUAAACGAUGUCAACUAGUUGUUGGGGAUUCAUUUCCUUAGUAACGUAGCUAACGCGUGAAGUUGACCGCCUGGGGAGUACGGUCGCAAGAUUAAAA
rnacentral:rRNA from 1 species